CCGGAAUGACUGGUGAUGUUGGUCUGGUUGCCAAUGGAAAAAUUGCCUUUCAUAUCGCUUGAUAUGCUUUGGCCUGAUAUGUGUUGACUUUUGUCAACACGGUUGUCGUCAUGGCUGUCAUUAUAGCUGUCAUUAUGGCUGUUGGUAUGUGAUGUAGCACCAUCAUGUGAAGUAUUCCCUCCUCUUGCUGCUACGAUAGAGAGAGGAGAGAAAGAGAGCGGGAGAGAAAGUGGGUAAUUAAGGGUGAAGUCGAUUAAAUUCAGUGGUGGAAAAGUACCUAAGUGUCAUACUUGAGUAAAAGUAAAGAUACCUUAGUAGAAAAUGACUCAAGUAAAAGUCACCCAGUAAAAUACUACUUGAGUAAUGUCUAAACGUAUUUCGUUUUAAACAUACUUUUUUAUUAAAAGUAAAAGUAUAAAUCAUUUCAAUUUCCUUAUAUUAAGUAAACCAAAUGGCACAUUUUCUUAUUUCUAUUUACAGAUAGCCAGGGGCACACUCGAACAUUUACAAACAAAGCAUAUGUUUAGUGAGUCCACCAGAUCAGAGGCAUUAGGAUGACCAGGGAUGUUCUCUUGACAAGUGCAUGAAUUGGACAAUUUUCCUGUCCUGCUAAGCAUUCAAAAUAUAACGAGUACUUUUGGGUGUCAGUGAAAAUGUAUGGAGUAAAAUGUGCAUUAUUUUCUUUAGAAAUGUAGUCAAGUAAAAGUUUACAAAUAAGAGAAAUAGUAGAAUACAGAUACCCCCAAAAACAUCUUAUGUAGUACUGUAAAGCAUUUUUACUUAAGCACUUUACACCACUGACUAAAUUAAAUAAUUUUCCUCAUCCAAACUGUCCACAUAAAGCACAGAUCUCGAUAAGCAAAGUUUAAAUGUGCAAUUUAUCACUAUUAGUCACCAUUGCAAUUGGUCUGAUCUGAGCAAUUCUUCUUAGCUAGCUACAUAGCCGUCUUUGUAUCAAAGAUAAUUGUGUAGUUUAGAGUAACUGAGUAAUUAUCGAGGCUAGCUAUCUUCGUCCUCCUAACGUAGUCAACACUGCUAGCUGCUAGCUAGCUAGUCAUCACUGUUAGCUAGCCAACUUCUACCGACUAACAGUACCGCAGAAACUAUUACAUUACAACGCAACGACUUGAUUAGUGUGGUGUUAGUGUUAGUUAGCCAGCUACAUAGUUGUCUGUGCUGUCUCUGUAUCUAAGAUAAUUGUGUAGUUUGAGUUUGAGUAUUAUCGAGGUGUGCUAGCCAGCCGCGACGCGGCGCCAGACUUACUCAACACACCUAGUCAUCAUUAACCCACUGCCAGAUAGCCAUCCGUUACCGACUAGCAGCGCUGUAGUUACUAAUACUUCACAACGGAACGAUUUGACUAGUGCAGUGUUACCUAGCGAGCUACCUAGUUGUCUUUGUCAUAGCUUGAUAAUUGUUAGCUAGCCAGCCAUCGAGGUUAGCUAGCCAGCUAUUUCCGUCCCCCGCGACGCCAUUUUUCCUAACCUAGCCAACUAUUACCGACGAGCAGCAUUGUUGAAACUAAAUACAAUACAAGGAACGUCUUGAUUAGUGUUAUGUUAGCUAGCUAGCUACAAAGUUGCUUUGUAUCAUGACAAGGUGUAGUACUGAAACUACCGAGGUUACCUAGCCAGCUACACGUUCAAAGUCAACAACGCAGCCACUGCUAGCUAGCCUACUCCACCAGCCAGCAGUACUGUAUCAUUUUAGUCAAUAACAUUUUUGCAAC
rnacentral:lncRNA from 1 species